rnacentral:piRNA from 1 species
UGAGUUUAAGCAUAGGAUCUCAUAGCCCAC